CCCUUAGAUGUUCUGGGCCGCACGCGCGCUACACUGAUGCGUUCAACAAGUUUCCUUGGCCGAGAGGCCUGGGCAAUCUUCUUAAUAUGUAUCGUGAUAGGGAUAGAUUAUUGCAAUUAUUAAUCUUGAAUGAGGAAUUCCUAGUAAACGCAGAUCAUCAAUCUGCAUUGAUUACGUCCCUGCCCUUUGUACACACCGCCCGUCGCACCUACCGAUUGGAUGUUCCGGUGAAGCCUCGGGAUGAGGACUGGUGCCUUUAUUGGCAUGAGUUGUUCAGAACUUGUCUAAACCUUAUCAUCUAGAGGAAGGUGAAGUCGUAACA
rnacentral:rRNA from 1 species